GAUGAACGCUGGCGGCGUGCCUAAUACAUGCAAGUCGAGCGAACAGACGAGGAGCUUGCUCCUCUGACGUUAGCGGCGGACGGGUGAGUAACACGUGGAUAACCUACCUAUAAGACUGGGAUAACUUCGGGAAACCGGAGCUAAUACCGGAUAAUAUAUUGAACCGCAUGGUUCAAUAGUGAAAGACGGUUUUGCUGUCACUUAUAGAUGGAUCCGCGCCGCAUUAGCUAGUUGGUAAGGUAACGGCUUACCAAGGCAACGAUGCGUAGCCGACCUGAGAGGGGGAUCGGCCACACGGGAACUGAAACCCGGCCCAGACCCCUAGGGGAGGCAGCAGGGGGGAAUCUUCCGCAAGGGGGGAAAGCCUGACGGAGAAACGGCGGGGGGGGAAAGAAGGUUUUGGGGUCGUAAAACUUUUUUAUUGGGGAAAAAAAAAUGUGUAAGUAACUAUGCCCGUCUUGACGGUACCUAAACAGAAAGCCACGGCAAACUACGG
rnacentral:rRNA from 1 species